rnacentral:tRNA from 1 species
AUAAAAGUAGCCUAGUGGACAUGGAAUCUGCCCAGUAAGUGGAACACUGUGGGUUUGAUUCCCAUCCCUGGACACUUUUAUU